UAUGUAGGGUGCAAGCGUUAAUCGGAAUUACUGGGCGUAAAGCGUGCGCAGGCGGUUAUGCAAGACAGAUGUGAAAUCCCCGGGCUCAACCUGGGAACUGCAUUUGUGACUGCAUAGCUAGAGUACGGUAGAGGGGGAUGGAAUUCCGCGUGUAGCAGUGAAAUGCGUAGAUAUGCGGAGGAACAUCGGUGGCGAAGGCGCUUUGCUGGACCAUAACUGACACUCAGGGACGAAAGCUAGGGGAGCGAAUGGG
rnacentral:rRNA from 1 species